rnacentral:rRNA from 1 species
CAUUCCUACGGGACGCAGCAGUGGGGAAUAUUGCACAAUGGGCGAAAGCCUGAUGCAGCAACGCCGCGUGAAGGAAGAAGGAUUUCGGCUCGUAAACUUCUAUCAACAGGGACGAAAGAAAUGAUGGUACCCCGCCAGAAAGUCACGGCUAACUACGUGCCAGCAGCCGCGGUAAUACGUAGGGGGCGAGCGUUAUCCGGAAUGAUUGGGCGUAAAGGGUGCGCAGGCGGGAUGGCAAGGCUGAAGUGGAAGGUACGGGCUUAACCUGUACAGGCUUUGGA